rnacentral:rRNA from 1 species
UACGAAGGGGGCUAGCGUUGCUCGGAAUCACUGGGCGUAAAGGGUGCGUAGGCGGGCCUUUAAGUCAGGGGUGAAAUCCUGGAGCUCAACUCCAGAACUGCCUUUGAUACUGAAGGUCUUGAGUUCGGGAGAGGUGAGUGGAACUGCGAGUGUAGAGGUGAAAUUCGUAGAUAUUCGCAAGAACACCAGUGGCGAAGGCGGCUCACUGGCCCGAUACUGACGCUGAGGCACGAAAGCGUGGGGAGCAAACAGG